rnacentral:rRNA from 1 species
UACGUAGGUGGCAAGCGUUGCCCGGAUUUACUGGGCGUAAAGAGCGCGCAGGCGGUCGGAUAAGUCGAAUGUGAAAGCCCCCGGCUCAACUGGGGAGGGUCAUUCGAUACUGUUCGACUCGAAGGCAGGAGAGGGAAGUGGAAUUCCCGGUGUAGUGGUGAAAUGCGCAGAUAUCGGGAGGAACACCUAUGGCGAAGGCAGCUCGCUGGGACGUUACUGACGCUGAGACGCGAAAGCGUGGGGAGCAAACAGG